ACUCCUACGGGAGGCAGCAGUGGGGAAUAUUGCACAAUGGGCGCAAGCCUGAUGCAGCCAUGCCGCGUGUAUGAAGAAGGCCUUCGGGUUGUAAAGUACUUUCAGCGGGGAGGAAGGCAAUACGGUUAAUAACCGUGUUGAUUGACGUUACCCGCAGAAGAAGCACCGGCUAACUCCGUGCCAGCAGCCGCGGUAAUACGGAGGGUGCAAGCGUUAAUCGGAAUUACUGGGCGUAAAGCGCACGCAGGCGGUCUGUCAAGUCGGAUGUGAAAUCCCCGGGCUCAACCUGGGAACUGCAUUCGAAACUGGCAGGCUUGAGUCUUGUAGAGGGGGGUAGAAUUCCAGGUGUAGCGGUGAAAUGCGUAGAGAUCUGGAGGAAUACCGGUGGCGAAGGCGGCCCCCUGGACAAAGACUGACGCUCAGGUGCGAAAGCGUGGGGAGCAAACAGGAUUAGAUCCCCUGUAGUCCCAUGAU
rnacentral:rRNA from 1 species